AAAGAUACACAUAGGAAAUUAAUAUAGAGUAAUCCAAAAGAAGAACCAAUCAAUUGAAAGGUAUCCAGAUCGUAUGAGGAAUGAGACAAUACUUUCAUUAACAUGUCAGACCAGGAUGAACCAAUCUAACAAUAGUCAAAUAAAUAGAGGAACUCCACCGUGGAAAGAGUGGUUGAUUACUUUUCAUGCUUAUUCCCCAAUGGGUAUUUUUACCACAUGGAUCAAAUGAACUCCAUCCAUAACCCGCCAUUCUUGGUAUGGUUUGUGGCACAGGAUGGUGGUGUCGCACUCCUGCAAUUGACAUGUGUUUAAAGUAUGACCUGCAGCUACAUUCACCUCAACAUAACUCAGAAGACAAAUCCCCACAAAAGGAAAUUCAAAAGACAGGUAAUAAUUGAUAGAAACCUAGAUCAAACUGAGUAAGAAAUACCUUAGAUUAAGCAUUCAUAAUUUGAUUUUGUAGUAAAAAUCAUAACUUGGUCAGAAAAUAAAAUACCCAAGACUCUGUUGUAUAGGAUUUAAUAAUAUGUCAUGCACUGUAUCCUAAAUUCAGGACCAAAGGGUAUGUUCUUAGAAUUUAAAUAUAAUUCUAUCAAUUUUACAACUUUAAAUCUCCACAAUCAUGUGAAAGGAAAUAAUCAUCGCUAUCUAUUUUCAUUAGGCAUUACCUCAAACACAUGGGUGAGCAAGUCCAACAGGUGAAUGGAGGGAUGGCUGGAAUUGGGCAGAGGAGAAAAGGGCACGUUGCAAAAGUUUGUUCUGUUGGGAGGGGAGGAGCAAUGCUUGCAGCUGGCUAUCUAUUUUAUACUCGAUAUGUCGUUAACAACCAAGUGAAGCUGCUGCAACUUCUAAGGCGCACGCAUGGUGUCUUGCCAUGGUUGCAACCAUGCUAAUCUUUCCCUAUGUCAUGGUCCAUACUGGGGAAACAAAUAAC
rnacentral:lncRNA from 1 species